UUUUGUCAAUUGAUAUUUUUUGUGAAUUUUCUUUUUUCUGGUUAUUGUUAAUCCAUUAUUCAUCUCUUUCUUCUUCUUCUUCCCUUUUUCUUUUUGAUCAAUGAGUUGAAGGUUGAUAAGGUAGCAUUGAUUAGGGAGACUUAAUCUUCCUUGAUCCAAAUCUAAUUCAUCUUGAUCAAUUGAUCAAGUGAAUGGCUUUGCAUUAAGGAUAGGUUGUUUCCUAAAUCAUGCAAAGGACUUAAAC
rnacentral:lncRNA from 1 species